rnacentral:tRNA from 3 species
CUCCGUGUAGCUCAGUUUGGUAGAGCAUCUGGUUUGGGACCAGAGGGUCCGAGGUUCAAAUCCUCGUAUGGAGA